GUUAAAAAGCUCGUAGUCGAAUCUGUGUCGCGCGCCGCCGGUUCAUCGCUCGCGGUGUCAACUGGCGUGUCGCGGGACGUCCUGCCGGUGGACGCGGUCUCGCGCGUCGUUCGUUCUUGCGGACGGGCGGUCGUCGAGACGGUCCAACUUCAACAAUCCCACCGCGGUGCUCUUCGCUGAGUGUCGAGGUGGGCCGGCACGUUUACUUUGAACAAAUUAGAGUGCUUAAAGCAGGCUAAAAUUUCGCCUGAAUACUGUGUGCAUGGAAUAAUGGAAUAGGACCUCGGUUCUAUUUUGUUGGUUUUCGGAACC
rnacentral:rRNA from 1 species